AUGUUAUUAAUUGUAAUCAUAACAAAAGUUUAUUAUUAAAGUUCUCCAUUUCUUUAAAACCUAGGUGGGCAAGAUACUAAAUACUUUUCUUGGAAUAUGUCAUCUUGAUUGAAAACUACUAGGAUAUUUUUGAAAAAGUAGCUCAUUAGCUGGCCGGAAUCUCACUCUGUCACUCAGGCUGGAGUGCAGAGGCACAGUCACGAUUCACUACAACCUCAACCUCCUGGCUCAAGUGAUCUUCCCACCUUAGCCUCUCCAGUAGCUAGGAUUAAAGGUAAGUGCCACUGUUCCCCGCUAAGUUUUGUAUUUUCUGUAGAGACAAGGUUUCACCAUGUUGCCCAGGC
rnacentral:lncRNA from 1 species